rnacentral:rRNA from 1 species
CAGGAUGAACGCUAGCUACAGGCUUAACACAUGCAAGUCGAGGGGCAGCAUGGGAUUAGCUUGCUAAUCCUGAUGGCGACCGGCGCACGGGUGAGUAACGCGUAUCCAACUCCCCUUACUCAGGGAUAGCCCGCUGAAAGGCGGAUUAACACCUGAUGGUUUCAUUAGAUGGCAUCUGACGAUGAAUAAAGUUUACGGUAAGGGAUGGGGAUGCGUCUGAUUAGCUUGUUGGCGGGGUAACGGCCCACCAAGGCGACGAUCAGUAGGGGUUCUGAGAGGAAGGUCCCCCACAUUGGAACUGAGACACGGUCCAAACUCCUACGGGAGGCAGCAGUGAGGAAUAUUGGUCAAUGGGCGAGAGCCUGAACCAGCCAAGUAGCGUGCAGGAUGACGGCCCUAUGGGUUGUAAACUGCUUUUAUAUAGGGAUAAAGUCACCCACGUGUGGGUGUUUGUAGGUACUAUAUGAAUAAGGACCGGCUAAUUCCGUGCCAGCCGCCGC